AACGAACGCUGGCGGCAGGCUUAACACAUGCAAGUCGAACGCCUGUAGCAAUACAGGAGUGGCAGACGGGUGAGUAUCACGUGGGAACGUGCCCAAAGGUACGGAACAACUCCGGGAAACUGGAGCUAAUACCGUAUGUGCCCGAAAGGGGAAAGAUUUAUCGCCUUUGGAUCGGCCCGCGUCUGAUUAGCUAGUUGGUGGGGUAAUGGCCUACCAAGGCGACGAUCAGUAGCUGGUCUGAGAGGAUGGCCAGCCACACUGGGACUGAGACACGGCCCAGACUCCUACGGGAGGCAGCAGUGGGGAAUAUUGGACAAUGGGCGCAAGCCUGAUCCAGCCAUGCCGCGUGAGUGAUGAAGGCCUUAGGGUUGUAAAGCUCUUUCGCCAGGGACGAUAAUGACGGUACCUGGAUAAGAAGCCCCGGCUAACUUCGUGCCAGCAGCCGCCGUAA
rnacentral:rRNA from 1 species